rnacentral:rRNA from 1 species
UACGGGGGGGGUAAGCGUUGUUCGGAAUUACUGGGCGUAAAGCGUGCGCAGGCGGUUUUGUAAGUCUGUCGUGAAAUCCCCGGGCUCAACCUGGGAAUUGCGAUGGAGACUGCAAGGCUAGAAUCUGGCAGAGGGGGGUAGAAUUCCACGUGUAGCAGUGAAAUGCGUAGAGAUGUGGAGGAACACCGAUGGCGAAGGCAGCCCCCUGGGUCAAGAUUGACGCUCAUGCACGAAAGCGUGGGGAGCAAACAGG